GUGCUCAUUUUAGCAGCAUAUAUACUAAAAUUGGAAUGAUACAGAGAAGAUUAAUAUGGUCCUUGCAAGGAUGACAUGCAAAUGCAUGAAGCAUUCCAUACUUUU